GUCACUCUAACGUAAGCUAGCUAAUAGCCCUCAAUGCUAGCCUGCUAGCUAACCUUUUUGGUAUUUCGCUCCAAAACUCUACCUUCUUGAUGCUGUCGCUGGUCCAGCUCCUAAAAAUGAUUCGAGGAAAAUCUGCGUGUGAAAAGUUUGACUAUUGACGCAAACUCUCCUGAAGAAGAAGAAGAAGAGAUUUUCGGCAGCUGAGCGGCAUGAAUGAGAAGACUGUCAACAUGAAUAUUAGCAGGAGUGGCUGCUUUCUCCACCAUGAGCGUGACGAUGAAGAAUCCUCGCACACUUUCCCCGCCGGGUAUGCUGACCAGCAGCUCCAAGUUCCUGCGUGAAUUCUAAAGGGCUGUGACCGACCGGGAUGCGAAGAUGGAGAAUAAAGGAGACAUUUGAGAAAGACGGCCUAAAGAGACGUUCACAAGUUGCUUGCCGUCACCCUUCUGGAUCCUUCUUCCGCCAGUUCGCCAGGACCGCAUCGGCGUGGGUGAGGAUUGGAGGAAGUCCUAAGCGUUGGGAAACCUCCCAGUACGGAACAGCCAGAGCACGAGGCAGCAUCUUAGCGGGAGAUGAUAACCGGAGAAUGUGUCAGCUUUCCUGUCACCAGUAAAUAUAUGAACUUCAACCAGAGAAGCGGAGGAGUACUGGUCGAUAAUAUAUUGCAGUAUUUCUUUAGAAAUAUUUCAAAGUCUAAUAUUUGAUGUGAAGUAAUCUGAGCCUUUGUUCUGUCAAUAAUUCAUAACAUCAUUAAUUUUGAUUCAUUCAUAUUUUGGA